CAGCGGCGGCGGGAGGAUGAGCGCCAACAACCAGCCCUGACCUACACACGCAGGACCUGGAGCCCGGGGCCAGCGGGAGCGAGACACCAGCCCGGCAAGGGUGCAGGCUGGCUGCCCCCCAGAGCUGGUGGAGGACACCUCACUCCCAAGUGCCCCCUUUCAGGGACUCCUUGAAGCCUUUCCCCUUUUUGGGAAGUGAAGGAAAAAGAGAGGAAACGCUUUGCAGUACCCCCUCCAGGUGAGGGGGGCGUUGGAGGCAGCAGGGACAGGGGAAGGGGUGGCCUGGAGCGCAGGUGUGACUGGUCACUCUGCUGAGGCUUGAGCCGAGGGUUGUUCAGGUUGAGCCUGGGCCAGCCUCGGGCUCCUCCCUGCCUCCCUGUGUCCCCUAACUUGCUUCUUUGUCCUAAAGGGAUUGGGGUGCCAGCCCCCCCACCCCACCCUGGGAGCAGUUGUGGACUCAGUCUGAGGACUGUGGACACCGAGGCAGGGGCUUGAGACUGAAUGCCCAGGAGCGUGUUGGGUGGGGCCUGGCGAGGCGUGAAGACUUCAGACCCAGCUCUGCGCCAUGUGGAGUGGGGCAGGCAGGGGCUGGACCCCGGCAUUUGCUUUCCCCACCCAUCGCCCUGCCAGCAAGCACAGGGGUCCCCGACCUGCACCAGGCUGCACCGAGGUCCCUGGGCCUCAAGAUGCUGGGGAGAGGCCUGGGGUGGGCAGAUGGGUCGGCUCCCCCGGCACCAGCUCCCAGGGGCUACAGUCAAGGAGCCCCUGCAAAUGGGUGGCCCCCAGGAGCAGGGCCUAGGGGGAGGCCUGGACAAGUGUUCUGAGGUUUCAAGGUGCUAUCGGGGGCAGAGGGCAGAGCUGCUGGUCACAGAGCACCCACCCCUCACCAGCUGUCCCGGCCCUGUCUCCCACGCGAGAGGAGAUGUGUGUGUCUGUCCAUCAUGCUUCCUGAAGGCAAUGCCAGGCCUCAUCCUCUCCUGGCCCCGCCACAACCUGCCCAUGGCUGGUGUCCGGCACCCUUGUCCCUCUGGGCCUCUGCGUUGGUGGCGGGUGCCUGUGGCAUUGUUAGUGAGAGGAGCCUGAGGAGCCUGCACGGUCAGGCCCCGCGUCGGGGCAGGGUCCUAGGGGAGUCCCUGCCUGUGCCCAAUGCUUGCCUGCAUGAGGCCAGCACUAACAGGUCACCCUUUUUUUGUUGUCAUUUAACAUCUUUAUUCCUGCCCUUAAAAUGGGGAGGAAGGUUCCAUAAGCUACAUGUUUCCUAGUUAAGCUCUUUCCUAUUGUUUAUACGGUUUUGUUUGUUAUACUCUUUGCACCUUAAACCCCCACGACGACCCCCAUACCACCGCCUUCCCAGCAUGGCUGGAGUGGGAGCAGGCCUGAGCCCCAGCGGGGUGGUGGGGGGACUGGGCCCCAUCGGCCUGAGGGCUGAGGGGGUUAGAACCCCACUGACCUCCUUGUGAGGCCCACGGCGCUGGGGCAGGGGGUUGGGCACAUUUUAAUCAUCAAUAAACGAAGCACUUUAUUCUGUACAGAUGUGGGCAGGCCCGAGGAGCCCGAGUGAUUUGAGGGUGUAUAAUCCAAGCCGCACAGCCCGCUCGCUCUCUGGGCGUGGAGCAGGCAGUGCCCUGGCCCGGUUGAUUCGGGGGCUGCAGCAGGAGCAGUACAAGCCAGAGCCCACAGACUCACCCUCUGGGGCCCCUGCCGUCCUCCCGGGACUGAACGUGGGCCCCUCCCCGAGAGGACGGCUUCCUGUCUGGCUCCCACCCCAAGGCUGGGCCUCCCAGGGCCCUGCGUUACUGUAGCUCUUUCCCUCUCUUGUACCUCUAAUCUCUGGGCUUCCAUGAUGUCCUCAGGGACCCCCCUCCCCACGCCCCCACGCUUGCUAUUUCUAACCUCUGGUCCCAGUGCCUGGCAGCUCUUCAGAGCUGGCUCACAUUUUCCAAAAAAAAGGUUGAUCUCCCCCCGAUGGGCUUUAGGCCGGGAGCCCCAUGGGUUCCCCAACCCCCUGUCACUGACACCAGGGUCUACCCUACCCUAGGGGCUGGUGGCCUUGUCACCAGCCAGCCCCACUGCAGCCUUAGCAAGCCUGGGGGCCUGGCCAGGCGGGGCCCCUGGUCUGUCAGGCCAGACUUUGACAAGCAGAGGCCAGAGAUUGGGGGGUUGGGGGAGCUGGUUGUGAACCCCUGUCCUAAGACUUGGGUUCCCUGUUCUUUUAUACCUUCCCUCUGAGGGCAGGAGAGGGGUCCAGACAGCAGGCGGGGCUCCGGUCACAAUGGUCUUGGAGCUGUCUAAGUGGGUGCAGCCAAGUCCUCUCCCGGGAGGCCCCAUCCCAGUGGGGACAGGAGCCCCAUGUCCCUGGUGCUAAAUGCUCUCUUCCCCUUGGGCCAUUGGGUGGGAGCACCCUUCCAGCCAGACCUCGGGGGGCCUGAAGCAAUAAUGGAACCUCAGCAGUUCCAGUGUCAACGGGGUUCUUGUUUUACCAGCUUCUCCAUUUCCUUUUUAUUUCAAAAGUAAGCACCUGGAUAUCGGACUGAGGGUACUGGGGCUUCCUACCCAACCCCAGGGCUGGCAGUAGGUGGUGGGGAGGGGCUUAGCUCAUCACCUCCACUGGGAUUCGGCCGUGAGGAGGUCUGUCCAUCUGGACUUCUCAGCCCCGUUGGCCAGAUCUCAGGUCCGGAACCUGGGCCUGUCCCUGCCCCAGCUUCCCCAGGGCUCUCUGGUCUUGGGCCAGAGGGAAGCCUCCAGCCCCAUGAUCACAGUUCUGGGAUCUGGGACUGGCCUUAGAGUCUGAGUCUCUGACUCUGGCAUGUGCUGCCACAGUGCCCCUCACAGCGGUGGCAGCAUGGCUGUGCCCAGGCCUGUGGACCCCUGAUGUCUGGUCAUGUGUGGCCACCCCACAGCCACAGAGUGUGUGGGGAACAGCAGGUGGGUGAGUGAAAAGAGUGAGGGGAAUAAAUUCAGUACAACUGUUUCUUG